AUGGUUGUUUCUCUCCUCUCGACACAUCAGCCGCCACCUCACAAAUUCGUUGCAUGGCGUGCUGACACGUGUUCAAUUAAUGAAACGCUGCGUACGGGCUUCUCUUGGGCUUUCACUCUCGCUUCGUUUUGCAGCCCAGGGACCACGUAACUUUACACGAACCCUAACCCGUGGUGAUUCGUGUUCUUCGUUUCACUUCGAUCGGCUGAGACGGCGACGAUCCAGAUUCUAAUCCGUUUCUGUAACUGAAAUCGUUGUGUUUUCUACGCCUUUACUCUCAUUAUAAUCAUUAAAACUACCCAUAUCCACGAUCUCUCUUUCUCCUCCGCCAUGUCCCGUCGUCAAUUUGGCACAAUUUUCCGGUGAAGUCUUCAUCCCCGUUGCAGUUCCCGGUGACUUCUCCUGCUGUUUGUUUGCUUAGGCGGAAGCCGCAUCUGAUUCUUUCCGGUGAAAAAGAUGAUUUCAGUCCCUUUAGUUAUGCUUGAAGACAGUGUCAACAAGCUCAAAAGUCUCAACACUUGGUAGACGCAGAAAUAAAGCUAAGGCCCAUAUGAUAUUGGCAUUUGAUUCUCCAUCUGAUUGGGUAUUUCAAUCUUACGGAUUUGUUUUAUAUCCGGUCUAGAGCAUAAUCUCAUGAUUUUCCUGUUUGAUGUUUUUUUUUAUGCUUCUUUUGGAUUGCAAUUGCGCAUGUGGUCAUCUACCAUGUUUCAGCUUCACUUUCUGUUCAAAAAAAUUAUACCCACUUGCGCAUAACAAGAGAGAAGUAUAAGUCUGAAGGAUGAACAAGCACUAGACUAUUUCUCACCUCAGAUUGAUUAACCAAAGGAUUAAGGGCGAGUCUGUGUAUUUGGCCGAGGUUCUCCAAAUUUCUCUGGCAUACAAAACAAAGAAAUGUUGCAAGUAUCGAUCUGGCAUAAGAAGAAACCUGAUAUAGACGAGUUAGAGAGCAUCGCGAAGCUAAAGCUAGCAGAGGCUUCCAGCUUAAAGCUAACAAAGCAUAACGGGAGGCUGAGAUGUUGUAAAGAAUGUACUACGGAAAUGGACAAGUUUGAGGAGGAAUGCGCAAGUAACUAUCUGAAACAGAGGUUGACCAAACUGAGGCAGAGAAGCAGUGUAUGUUUCAGAAGGUUGAGCUGAAGGAAAAUUCAAGGAUUGCAUCACAAUGCAGUGGUGGUGGAGGAGACCUGUCACAUGUUCUUGAUGUACUCAAAGAUCUGCGAUCUACUUCAUGGUAACAAUCUCUCGCUUAAGGUAGAUCCUCAAUCAAAAGAGCACCGUCCUUUCAUAUCCAAACCUUGAUGAUUCCCUUAUAGAUAGAUGUGCAGAUUUCAUAUCCUAAAAGGCUAAAACUCAUAUCUUUGUGUUUCUGAAUUGAGCAUUUAUUUUGUUAAAAUAAAAGUGAAACGAGUGUUUUAUACUCUUAAUCUAAA